rnacentral:rRNA from 1 species
UACGUAGGGAGCAAGCGUUGUCCGGAAUCAUUGGGCGUAAAGCGCGCGUAGGUGGCUUCGUAAGUCCGUUGUGAAAGUCAAAGGCUCAACCUUUGAAAGCCGAUGGAUACUGCGGAGCUAGAGUACGGAAGAGGCGAGUGGAAUUCCUGGUGUAGCGGGUGGAAUGCGCAGAUAUCAGGAGGAACACCAAUAGCGAAGGCAGCUCGCUGGGACGUUACUGACACUGAGGCGCGAAAGCGCGGGGGAGCGAACAGGA